UCCGCCCGCUGGCGGCGUGCCUAAUACAUGCAAGUAGAACGCACAGUUUAUACCGUAGCUUGCUACACCAUAGACUGUGAGUUGCGAACGGGUGAGUAACGCGUAGGUAACCUGCCUGGUAGCGGGGGAUAACUAUUGGAAACGAUAGCUAAUACCGCAUAAUAUUAAUUAUUGCAUGAUAAUUAAUUGAAAGGUGCAAUUGCACCACUACCAGAUGGACCUGCGUUGUAUUAGCUAGUAGGUGAGGUAACGGCUCACCUAGGCGACGAUACAUAGCCGACCUGAGAGGGUGAUCGGCCACACUGGGACUAAGACACGGCCCAGACUCCUACGGGAGGCAGCAGUAGGGAAUCUUCGGCAAUGGACGAAAGUCUGACCGAGCAACGCCGCGUGAGUGAAGAAGGGUUUCGGAUCGUAAAGCUCGGUUGUAAGAGAAGAACGGGUGUGAGAGUGGAAAGUUCACACUGUGACGGUAUCUUACCAGAAAGGGGCGGCUAACUACGUG
rnacentral:rRNA from 1 species